UGGAAAGACGAUGCUACAGCUAGACAGUGACAGCUAACAGGGAGUGCUUGCUGUGUGGCCGACACUUUGCUGAGAGUUUAUAUGCUUCAUCUCAUGUCUUCCUUAACACAGGACGAUGAGGAAGAGACAAAUGAACUUGUGUUGAGUUUGGAAGAUGACGACAGAUACCUGCUAAAAGAAGACAGCACUCUGAAGGCAGCUGGAAUCGCCAGUGAAACUGAAAUUGCAUUCUUCUGUGAAGAAGAUUAUAAGAACUACAAAGCUAAUCCCAUUUCAUCCUGGUGAAAAUGUCUCAGGGGCUUCCGUUUUGCAUACCUGUAUUAAGCUCUUUAUUCCACUACUGAGUUUUUGAAAUUGACAAACAAAUCUUAAAAAAAAUUAAUCCCAGGUUCUAGUAUUUGAGCUGAAAUCUGGCGAUUUCUUUCUCUGUAAGCCUCUUCUUUUCUCCUUCUUGUUGUAAAAUGACAUGAGAAAAACACUUACUUUUUUAAGUGAAAUAAAUUGUUAUUAAAAUCA